rnacentral:rRNA from 1 species
GGCUCCUUGAAUAGGCUUUAAUAAGGAGUCUUACCUGCCCAGUGAUGAAAUUUUUAACGGCCGCGGUACUCUGACCGUGCAAAGGUAGCAUAAUCAUUUGCCUUAUAAUUGAAGGCUAGUAUGAAGGGUUUGAUGAGGGUUAAGCUGGCUCCUAUUAAUUAAAAUGAAAUUAGCUUUUAGGUGCAAAGACCUAAAUUAAAUUAAAAGACAAGAAGACCCUAUUGAGCUUUGAAAAUCCUGUGAUAUAUAAUGUUACAACUUAGUUGGAUUGGAGUUCACUAAUUUUUCUUAGUUGGGGCGACUCUGGAACAAUCAAAACUUCCAGAAACUUUUUAGAUAAGACAAUUUCAAUUUAUUUAAAUUUGAUCCAAAAUGUUUUGAUUAAUAGAAUAAGUUACCAUAGGGAUAACAGCAUAAUCUUUUUUGAGAGCUCUAAUCGAAAAAAAGGUUUGUGACCUCGAUGUUGGACUAGAAUAUCCUAAAGGUGCAGAAGCUUUUGAAGGUUGGUCUGUUCGACCAUUAAAAUUCU